rnacentral:misc_RNA from 1 species
UCUCCGUUGGUGAACCAGCGGAGGGAUCAUUACAGAGUUGCAAAACUCCCAACCCUUUGUGAACGAACUUGCCAGUUGCCUCGGCGGGGAGCCCCUCAAGGAGCCGACCGCCGGCGGACUGCAAACUCUUUUGAACUACCAUUCUGAUUACUAAUUCAAUAAGUUAAAACUUUCAACAACGGAUCUCUUGGUUCUG